rnacentral:rRNA from 1 species
GGAGUUAGCCGGUGCUUCUUCUGUGAGUGAUGUCCUUCCUGCCGGUUAUUGACCCGCAGGCCUUCUUCCUCACUGAAAGUGCUUUACAACCCGAAGGCCUUCUUCACACACGCGGCAUGGCUGGAUCAGGGUUGCCCCCAUUGUCCAAUAUUCCCCACUGCUGCCUCCCGUAGGAGUCUGGGCCGUGUCUCAGUCCCAGUGUGGCUGAUCAUCCUCUCAGACCAGCUACGGAUCGUCGCCUUGGUGAGCCGUUACCUCACCAACCAGCUAAUCCGACAUAGGCUCAUCCGAUAGCGCGAGGCCCGAAGGUCCCCCGCUUUCCCCCGUAGGGCGUAUGCGGUAUUAGCCUGGGUUUCCCCAGGUUAUCCCCCACUACCGGGCAGAUUCCUAUGCAUUACUCACCCGUCCGCCGCUCGCCACCAGGGAGCAAGCUCCCCGUGCUGCCGCUCGACUUGCAUGUGUUAGCUGCCGCCACGCGUUCAUCUGAGCCAGAAUACAACUACUGA